GCCAUAGCUCAGUGGUAGAGCAAGUGUUCUACAUAGAGAAGGCCCCAUGUUCAAUUCCUGGUGUCUCCU